rnacentral:rRNA from 1 species
GAUGAACGCUAGCGGCAGGCUUAAUACAUGCAAGUCGAACGGUAACAGGUCUUCGGACGCUGACGAGUGGCGCACGGGUGAGGAACACGUACACAAUCUACCUUAUACUGGAGAAUAGCCCCGGGAAACUGGGAUUAAUACUCCAUAGUCUUUAAUGAUCACAUGAGAAAUAAAGUAAAGCUUCGGCGGUAUGAGAUGAGUGUGCGUCCCAUUAGAUUGUUGGUGAGGUAACGGCUCACCAAGUCGACGAUGGGUAGCUGGCGUGAGAGCGCGACCAGCCACACUGGCACUGAGACACGGGCCAGACUCCUACGGGAGGCAGCAGUAGGGAAUAUUGGUCAAUGGACGAAAGUCUGAACCAGCCAUGCCGCGUGGAGGAUGACUGCCCUCUGGGUUGUAAACUCCUUUUAUAUGGGAAGAAACCUCUGGAUUCACUCCAGAGCUGACGGUAUCAUAUGAAUAAGCACCGGCUAACUCCG